CGCUGCUAGGCAAACCAGAAGAGAACUAGCCUUGGACUCCAACCUUAGUGAUUCUAGACUUUGGAAUCUACCACCAUAUCGGGCUGGCUGCCUCCAAGAGAGGCGAAUUCCAUUCUCAUAAACAGCUCGAGGAAUCCGCAAAGACAAAAAAGCCUUGGGUUCCUGCCCUGUGGUUGUGACACCAACCAUUCAAAAUGGCAGCAGACCGCCCCAGUAUCUGAGGCUCUCCCCCAGACGCAGGCCCAGCUUGGCCACAGUCACAAGCCGGGAGGCCAAAGGCUCCAGAUCCAAUUCAAGCUUCUGUGACUUUGAGGAAGUAGGAUUUUUUCAUAAGACUGAGGGUGUUUCAUCUCUCGUGCUCCUAAUACUGGAUCUGGCAUACGUUUGUGAAGCCAAAGAAGCAAUUCCAAUAAAACAGUGAUGCAUUAGCGACUCAUCAGACUUAUGAAGCUCAUGUCUAACGACGUGAGGAGAUUAAAGCAAUCACUCAAACUCAUGCAACCAAUUAGUGGGGAAAUCCCAUCAUAAUCCAGAGCUCUACAGUGAGUCACCCAGAAAAAAGUUGACUCAUAAACCAAGCUAAAGAGUCAAUAUAAUAUAGUGGCUAACCAGGGUGACCAACCUGGGUUUGAAUCACAGCCCUGCCACUUAAUAAUGCUGGGCAAGUCCUUUGCAGCCUCUAUACCUCCGUUUCUUCUUCAGGAAAACAGACCUAAUAAUAUUCUACAUCAUAUGGUGGUCCUACAGGUGCAGCACAGAAAUCAUCUAAAACUGUGCUUUCCGAUAGAAAUAUAACGCAAGCCACCAAUGUGAGCCAUAUACGUAAUUUAAAAUUUUCUAGUAGUCAUACUAGAAAGAGACCUUAAGAUUUUAUUUGUUUGUUUGAGAGAGAGAGAAAGAGAGCGUGGGAGAGCACACGAGGUGGUGGGGGGGGGGCGGCUGAGACCCCAGGGCCCUGAGAUCAUGACCAGAGCCAAAGGCAGAUGCUUCACCAACUGAGCCACCCAAGUGCCCCCUAGUAGUCAUAUUUUAAAAAGUAAAAAGAAACAGCUAAGAUUAAUUUUUUUAAAGGUUUUAUUUAUUUAUUCGACAGAGAUAGAGACAGCCAGCGAGAGAGGGAACACAAGUAGGGGGAGUGGGAGAGGAAGAAGCAGGCUCAUAGCGGAGGAGCCUGAUGUGGGACUCGAUCCCAUAACGCCGGGAUCACGCCCUGAGCCGAAGGCAGACGCUUAACCGCUGUGCCACCCAGGCGCCCCAACAGCUAAGAUUAAUUUUAAUAAUAUCUUACCGAACCUGAUAAAUCUAAAAUAUUAUUAUCUUAGCAUAUAAUCAGCAUUAAAAAUAUUACUGAGAUAUGUUACAUUGUUUUUUUUCAUACUAAGCGUUUGAAAUGUACGCACAUCUCAGUUUGGACUAGCCAC
rnacentral:lncRNA from 1 species